CCUACGGGAGGCAGCAGUGGGGAAUUUUGGACAAUGGGCGCAAGCCUGAUCCAGCAAUGCCGCGUGAGUGAAGAAGGCCUUCGGGUUGUAAAGCUCUUUUGUCAGGGAAGAAACGGUGGGGGCUAAUAUCUCCCGCUAAUGACGGUACCUGAAGAAUAAGCACCGGCUAACUACGUGCCAGCAGCCGCGGUAAUACGUAGGGUGCAAGCGUUAAUCGGAAUUACUGGGCGUAAAGCGUGCGCAGGCGGUUUUGUAAGUCUGUCGUGAAAGCCCCGGGCUCAACCUGGGAAUUGCGAUGGAGACUGCAAGGCUUGAAUCUGGCAGAGGGGGGUAGAAUUCCACGUGUAGCAGUGAAAUGCGUAGAGAUGUGGAGGAACACCGAUGGCGAAGGCAGCCCCCUGGGUCAAGAUUGACGCUCAUGCACGAAAGCGUGGGGAGCAAACAGGAUUAGAUACCCUGGUAGUCCACGCCCUAAACGAUGUCUACUAGUUGUCGGGUUUUAAUUAACUUGGUAACGCAGCUAACGCGUGAAGUAGACCGCCUGGGGAGUACGGUGCAAGNUUAAAACGUUAAAUUGAAUUGACGGCUUGNGNGNGCGAGACGACGACGAGGAGGAGG
rnacentral:rRNA from 1 species